AAAUUGAAGAGUUUGAUCAUGGCUCAGAUUGAACGCUGGCGGCAGGCCUAACACAUGCAAGUCGAACGGUAACAGGAAGGAGCUUGCUUCUUUGCUGACGAGUGGCGGACGGGUGAGUAAUGUCUGGGAAACUGCCUGAUGGAGGGGGAUAACUACUGGAAACGGUAGCUAAUACCGCAUAACGUCGCAAGACCAAAGAGGGGG
rnacentral:rRNA from 1 species